AUGAAAGGGAUUGUGAAGUCUCCUGUCUCCGCAACAAUUCUACAACUUAUUGGAAGGAUGUUUGUUACAUGAGGUGUCUUGUGGAGCUUUCCUGAGACACGCCCUCAUAUUCUUGUUUCUUCCUUGAUCCUAGCAUGGUCCAUCACUGAGGUCAUCAGAUAUCCUUACUAUGGUAUGAAGGAGACAUUUGGAUUUGCUCAUUUCUGGCUAUUAUGGCUUAGGUAUAACAUGUUCCUCAUACUCUAUCCUAUUGGUAUGUUAAGUGAAGUUGGCCUCAUAUACGUCACACUGCCUUACAUGAAGGCCUCCAAUAAAUACUGCCUUCAAAUGCCCAAUAAAUGGAAUUUCUCCUUCAACUACCACUAUGCAUCUGUUCUUCUAAUGGGUAUCUAUUUUCCAGGUACACUUUCUUUACAAUUAUUGACCAAAGGUAUACAUAUGUAG
rnacentral:rRNA from 1 species